rnacentral:rRNA from 1 species
UACGUAGGGUGCGAGCGUUAAUCGGAAUUACUGGGCGUAAAGCGUGCGCAGGCGGUUGUGCAAGACAGAUGUGAAAUCCCCGGGCUUAACCUGGGAAUUGCAUUUGUGACUGCACAGCUAGAGUGUGUCAGAGGGGGGUAGAAUUCCACGUGUAGCAGUGAAAUGCGUAGAUGUGUGGAGGAAUACCGAUGGCGAAGGCAGCCCCCCUGGGAUAACACUGACGCUCAUGCACGAAAGCGUGGGGAGCAAACAGG